rnacentral:rRNA from 1 species
ANUGGCAGCAGUGAGGAAUAUUGCGCAAUGGGGGCAACCCUGACGCAGCGACGCCGCGUGGGUGAGGAAGGCUUUCGGGUCGUAAAACCCUGUCAGAAGGGAAGAAGUGCUUAUAGGUUAAUACCUUGUAAGUUUGACGGUACCUUCAAAGGAAGCACCGGCUAACUCCGUGCCAGCAGCCGCGGUAAUACGGAGGGUGCAAGCGUUGUUCGGAAUCACUGGGCGUAAAGGGCGCGUAGGCGGCUUGGCAAGUCAGAUGUGAAAGCCCACGGCUUAACCGUGGAAGUGCAUUUGAAACUGCUUGGCUUGAGUAUCAGAGGGGGAAGUGGAAUUCCCGGUGUAGAGGUGAAAUUCGUAGAUAUCGGGAGGAAUACCGGUGGCGAAGGCGACUUUCUGGCUGAAUACUGACGCUGAGGCGCGAAAGCGUGGGGAGCAAACAGGAUUAGAUACCCUGGUAGUCCACGCCGUAAACGAUGUCAACUAGGUGCAGGGGGUGUUGAUCCCUUCUGUGUCGCAGCUAACGCAUUAAGUUGACCGCCUGGGGAGUACGGUCGCAAGAUUAAAACUCAAAUGAAUUGACGGA